AAGCAGGCGAUGAAAGAAAAUUGGAUAAUGAAUGCUGGAAAAUUCAAUCGCAUUGUUGAUCUUAAAUUCUAAAAAACGACAUUGAGCUUUGCUAUAUCAUUCAACUUCAUAAUAUUUCACUGGAUUAAUUACAUUGUAAUUUUUCAUUUAAAUAAUAAGAAAUUUAAGUUCAGAUACAAUUCUGUCGUAACAAUAUCUGAUAAUUUCAGAUAAAGUACUUAAGAAUUUUUUUUUCAUGUAAGAAACUUUAUCUAUAUUUAACGAUUAUAUGACUUAUUAGAUAUCAAAUAUAUCAUCUUACCUAUAUUUAUACAAGUUUGGUUCGACAAUUCUAUAUUCCAUAAUUGUAUGAUUACUAACAUGACGAAAGCAAGAGCCAAACAUCCGCAAUAACGACACACUGUUUUUCCAUAUACGUCUCUCAACUCUGGUGUGAUGGAAUACGCAGUGAUUGUAAGAAUUAAGAAUGGUAUAGAUAUUAAAAGGCCACAAGC